UACAGAGGUCUCAAGCGUUGUUCGGAUUCAUUGGGCGUAAAGGGUGCGUAGGUGGCGCUGUAAGUCAGGUGUGAAAUUUCGGAGCUUAACUCCGAAACUGCAUUUGAUACUGCGGUGCUUUGAGGACUGGAGAGGAGACUUGGGAAUUUACGGUGUAGCAGUGAAAUGCGUAGAGAUCGUAAGGAAGACCAGUGGCGAAGGCGGGUCUCU
rnacentral:rRNA from 1 species